rnacentral:rRNA from 1 species
GCCUACGGCCAUACCACCCUGAGAACGCCCGAUCUCGUCUGAUCUCGGAAGCUAAGCAGGGUCGGGCCCGAUUAGUACUCGGAUGGGAGACCGCCUGGGAAUACCAGGUGCUGUAAACU